rnacentral:rRNA from 1 species
UACGGGGGGGGCAAGCGUUGUUCGGAAUUACUGGGCGUAAAGGGCUCGUAGGCGGCCAACUAAGUCAGACGUGAAAUCCCUCGGCUUAACCGGGGAACUGCGUCUGAUACUGGAUGGCUUGAGUUUGGGAGAGGGAUGCGGAAUUCCAGGUGUAGCGGUGAAGUGCGUAGAUAUCUGGAGGAACACCGGUGGCGAAGGCGGCAUCCUGGACCAACACUGACGCUGAGUGAGCGAAAGCCAGGGGAGCAAACGGG